GAAGUACUCCUUCUGUUCGAAAAUACUUGUCAUUGAAACGAAUAUAUUGAUGUAUUUUAAUUCUAGAUAUAUUCAUUUUUAUUCAUUUACACGAUAAGUAUUUUCGGGCGGAGGGAGUACAAA
rnacentral:pre_miRNA from 1 species